AAGUUGCUGAAGAGUCCCAUACUAGGACGAAACGGCUGUCCAGUGU
rnacentral:hammerhead_ribozyme from 1 species